rnacentral:snoRNA from 1 species
CCCCUCUCAGGGUCACACCUGGAGCAUUCUCAGUACUCUACCAGUUUCGACUAUAGGAGGGAGAGUCAGGCAGAGACCUAUCCAUUCCAUUCCUAGCUUGGACAGUGGCUAGCGAGUGGAAGGCAAUCUGCUACAAGU